rnacentral:RNase_P_RNA from 1 species
UCAGCCGGCCGGGCGGCCGCUCCGGUCCUGUCGGCGGGUCUCCCGCGCGGGAGGGCCGGGGAGGAAAGUCCGGGCUCCAUGAAGAGACGGUGCCGGAUAACGUCCGGCGGGGGCGACCCCAGGGACAGUGCCACAGAGAGCAGACCACCGCAUCGCGGGCCCUUCGGGACCCGCCGCGGCCAGGGUGAAAGGGUGCGGUAAGAGCGCACCGCGGACGCGGCAACGCGGACGGCACGGCAAACCCCACCGGGAGCAAAACCGAAUAGGGGCGGCACGCGCGGCUCGCCGCGCAGGGCUUUCUUCAGGCCCGUCGCCCGGGUUGGUUGCUCGAGGCGGCCGGCAACGGCCGUCCCAGAGGAAUGGCCGCCACGUCCGGGGGACCUUCGGGUCGUCCGGGCCAUACAGAACCCGGCUUACAGGCCGGCUGAUACC